AAAGACUUAGUCCUAACCUUACCGUUAAUUCUUGCUAGACAUAUACAUGCAGUAUCCGCACUCCAGUGAUAAAUGCCCUAGAACUCUUAAUAAGAGGCAAAAGGAGCAGGCAUCAGGCGCACUCAAAACUGUAGCCCAAGACGCCUUGCUUAGCCACACCCCCACGGGUAUUCAGCAGUAAUUAACAUUAAGCAAUAAGUGCAAACUUGACUUAGUUAUAGCAACACAUAGGGUCGGUAAAUUUUGUGCCAGCCACCGCGGUCAUACAAGAGACCCAAAUUAACCGUAACACGGCGUAAAGAGUGGUAUCAUGAUAUCACAACAACUAAGAUCAAAACACAGUUGAGCUGUCAUAAGCUUAAAAUGUGUCUAAGACCACCCUCAANACGACCUUAGUACCAAUGACUAAUUUNACAGCCACGAAAGCCAGGANACANANUGGGAUUAGAUACCCCACUAUGCCUGGCCCUAAAUCCUGAUACUUACUUAACCAAAGUAUCCGCCUGAGAACUACGAGCACAAACGCUUAAAACUCUAAGGACUUGGCGGUGUCCCAAACCCACCUAGAGGAGCCUGUUCUAUAAUCGAUAACCCACGAUAUACCCAACCGCCCCUUGCCAAAGCAGCCUACAUACCGCCGUCGCCAGCCCACCUCAUUGAGAGUAUAACAGUGAGCCAAAUAGCCCCCCACCGCUAACAAGACAGGUCAAGGUAUAGCCCAUGGGGCGGAAGAAAUGGGCUACAUUUUCUAACCUAGAAAACCNACGGAAAGGGACAUGAAACUGCCCCUGGAAGCGGAUUUAGCAGUAAAGCGGGACAAUCAAGCCCCCUUUAAGACGGCACUGGGACACGUACAUACCGCCCGUCACCCUCCUCAACAAAGCUGCCUAAGCCCCAUAAUUCAAUACACCAACUAGCCAGAGAUGAGGUAAGUCGUAACAAGGUAAGUGUACCGGAAGGUGCACUUAGCAUAU
rnacentral:ncRNA from 1 species